rnacentral:rRNA from 1 species
GGCGACCGGCGCACGGGUGAGUAACGCGUAUGCAACUUGCCUAUCAGAGGGGGAUAACCCGGCGAAAGUCGGACUAAUACCGCAUGAAGCAGGGGCCCCGCAUGGGGAUAUUUGCUAAAGAUUCAUCGCUGAUAGAUAGGCAUGCGUUCCAUUAGGCAGUUGGCGGGGUAACGGCCCACCAAACCGACGAUGGAUAGGGGUUCUGAGAGGAAGGUCCCCCACAUUGGUACUGAGACACGGACCAAACUCCUACGGGAGGCAGCAGUGAGGAAUAUUGGUCAAUGGCCGAGAGGCUGAACCAGCCAAGUCGCGUGAGGGAUGAAGGUUCUAUGGAUCGUAAACCUCUUUUAUAAGGGAAUAAAGUGCGGGACGUGUCCCGUUUUGUAUGUACCUUAUGAAUAAGGAUCGGCUAACUCCGUGCCAGCAGCCGCGGUAAUACGGAGGAUCCGAGCGUUAUCCGGAUUUAUUGGGUUUAAAGGGUGCGUAGGCGGAAUAUUCAAGCCUGAUGUAAAAAUUCGGGGCCCAACCCCGUCCCGCCUUGGGAACUGGUAUUCUAGAGUGGUUGAGAAGUAUGCGGAAUGCGUGGUGUAGCGGUGAAAUGCAUAGAUAUCCGCAGAACGCCGAUUGCGAAGGCAGCAUACCGGCAGCCCACUGACGCUGAGGCACGAAAGCGUGGGGAUCAAACAGGAUUAGAUACCCUGGUAGUCCACGCAGGUAAACGAUGGAUGCUAGCUGUCCGGGGCGAAUGAGUUCUGGGUGGCACAGCGAAAGCGUUAAGCAUCCCACCUGGGGAGUACGCCGGCAACGGUGAAACUCAAAGGAAUUGACGGGGGCCCGCACAAGCGGAGGAACAUGUGGUUUAAUUCGAUGAUACGCGAGGAACCUUACCCGGGGUCAAACGGCACAGUGAUACUUUUGAAAGGAGGUAGCUCUACGGAGACUGUGCCGAGGUGCUGCAUGGUUGUCGUCAGCUCGUGCCGUGAGGUGUCGGCUUAAGUGCCAUAACGAGCGCAACCCUUGCCACUAGUUACUAACAGGUUAGGCUGAGGACUCUGGUGGGACUGCCAGCGUAAGCUGCGAGGAAGGCGGGGAUGACGUCAAAUCAGCACGGCCCUUACAUCCGGGGCGACACACGUGUUACAAUGGCGUGGACAAAGGGAUGCCACCUGGCGACAGGGAGCGAAUCCCCAAACCACGUCUCAGUUCGGAUCGGAGUCUGCAACCCGACUCCGUGAAGCUGGAUUCGCUAGUAAUCGCGCAUCAGCCAUGGCGCGGUGAAUACGUUCCCGGGCCUUGUACACACCGCCCGUCAAGCCAUGGGAGCCGGGGGUACCUGAAGUCCGUAACCGAAAGGAUCGGCCUAGGGUAAAACUGGUGACUGGGGC